AGAGUACCUGGUUGGGGUCCCCGUGAUGAUCGUAACCAGCGGUUAGAGACAUUAGGUGAUAUGGCUCAAAAUCGUUGGCAAUGGCACAGGUGCAUC
rnacentral:precursor_RNA from 1 species